GCUCCGGUGGCCUAGUGGUUAGAGCGUCUGCCUUGGAUGUGGGAAGUCGCGGGUUCGAUCCCCGGCCGAGUCA